rnacentral:rRNA from 1 species
AGCAGCCGCGGUAAUUCCAGCUCCAAUAGCGUAUAUUAAAGUUGUUGCAGUUAAAAAGCUCGUAGUUGAAUUUCGGGAUCAAUUUGUUGGUCGUGCCUCGGUACGUACUGGCAUUAUUGGUUUCUACCUUCUGAAGAACCUUGAUGUCAUUAAUUUGGUGUCUUGGGGAAUCAGGACUGUUACUUUGAAAAAAUUAGAGUGUUUAAAGCAGGCAUACGCUUGAAUACAUUAGCAUGGAAUAAUGAAAUAGGACGUUUGAUUCUAUUUUGUUGGUUUCUAGGAUCGACGUAAUGAUUAAUAGGGAUAGUUGGGG